rnacentral:ncRNA from 1 species
AUAAAGUUUAAUUUUAGCUUAAAAAUUUAUUUAAUUUUUUUUUUACAUGUAAAUUUUUGUGUGAAUAUUAAUUUAAAUUUUAAUAAUUUUUUUAAUAUAUUUAUUUUCGCAGUAUUUAAUUUUAAUAAUUUAAGAAAUUAAGAAUUAUAAAUAAAUUAUAAUAUUGACUUAUUUUGUGCCAGCAGUCGCGGUUAUACAAAAAAUAUAAGUAAAUUUUAUUAGUAAAUAAUUAUAUGAAUUAAUUAAAAAAUUGAAAAUUAUAUUUAUUAGGUGAAAUUUUAAAUAUAAAAUAAAUUUUAAUUAAGUUUUUAUUAUUAUGAAAUUUUGUAUUUAAACUAGGAUUAGAUACCCUAUUAUUUAAAAUGUAAAAUUAUAUUACUUACUUAGUAUUAGUUAUGUUCUUUAAAUUUAAAAAAUUUGGCGGUAUUUUAGUCUAUUUAGAGGAACCUGUUCUAUAAUUGAUAAUCCACGAUUAACUUUACUUUAUUUAUAAAUUUGUAUAUCAUCGUUAUAAGAAAAUUUUAAAAGAAUAUUAAUUUUUUUUAAUUUAAAUUAAAAUCUAUUUCAGAUCAAGGUGCAGUAUAUAAUAAAGAAGAAAUGGGUUACAAUAAAUUUAUUUAUAAUGGAUUUAGUUAUUAAUAUUGACUAAUAAAGGUGGAUUUAAUAGUAAUAAAAUUUAAAUAAAUUUUAUGAUUUUAGCUCUAAAAUAUGUACAUAUCGCCCGUCACUCUUAUUACAAAAUAAGAUAAGUCGUAACAUAGUAGAUGUACUGGAAAGUGUAUCUAGAUUGUC